rnacentral:rRNA from 1 species
CCGUUACUCAGUUCAGAUUGCAGGCUGNAACCCGCCCUGCAUGAAGUCGGAAUUGCUAGUAAUCGCGGAUCAGCAUGCCGCGGUGAAUACGUUCCCGGGCCUUGUACACACCGCCCGUCACACCAUGGGAGCCGGUAAUACCCGAAGUCAGUAGUCCAACCACGUGAGGACGCUGCCGAAGGUAGGAUUGGCGACUGGGGUGAAGUCGUAACAAGGUACC